rnacentral:lncRNA from 1 species
GUAAGAAAAUGCCUGCAGCCCCUUGCACUCGCGGAGUCAUCUACGCAAGGUCGGGCUCUGCAGGCAGCAGCUUCUGGUCUCACCCCGGGCUUGUGCGCACACCUGGGGACAUGUGGGAAGGUCGCUCUUGCGGCCACUGAGCGGCCUGGCCUCAGGGAACGAGCCCCGCGCCGGGAAGAAAGCUGCCUGCCGGGAGCGCAGCCUAUUGGGGACCCGGGACCCGAGCCACCGCGGCUCACCAAGAGGCGGUGGGGCCCUGCGGUGCGUGUGGGACGCCGGGCAGGCAGACUCUGAGCACGGCCAGGAGGCAAGAAGAGAUUGAAGGGAAAUCUCAAGGGGCUCCAGAGACUACUACGAUGGUGCAAAGUCACAGAAGCCCUGGGAAAAGCAGGUAGAAUGGAGUUGCCAUGACAUUGAGCCUCACCUAGAUGCCAGUUCCAGAUAUUGGCAGACUGCUGGCCUCCUGAGGAGCACAGGAAGGGGCCUGGCAGACUGGUGAUCCUGGUUGGAGAUGAAGAGGGGCUGAUUA